GAUGAAGAACGUAGCGAAAUGCGAUACGUAAUGUGAAUUGCAGAAUUCAGUGAAUCAUCGAGUCUUUGAACGCACAUUGCGCCCCCUGGUAUUCCGGGGGGCAUGCCUGUCCGAGCGUCAUUGCUGCCCUCAAGCACGGCUUGUGUGUUGGGCCUCCGUCCUCCUCCCGGGGGACGGGCCCGAAAGGCAGCGGCGGCACCGCGUCCGGUCCUCGAGCGUAUGGGGCUUCGUCACCCGCUCUUGUAGGCCCGGCCGGCGCUUGCCGACACAUCAAUCUUUUUUCCAGGUUGACCUCGGAUCAUGUAGGGAUACCCGCUGAACUUAAGCAUAUCAAUAAGCGGAGGA
rnacentral:misc_RNA from 1 species